UCGCGGGCGGAAGCUAGUUAUAAAUAACAUCAGUCAAUUAGUAGUUUAUAGCUUUAACAUGAUUCUCUAAAAAUCUCAUUUAAGAACGUGCCUACAAAUUGCUGUUAUAAAAAUGGGAGCUAUAAUAACAAAUGUUGAGUUUGUAUUGGUAAUUUUUGACAUGGAAGUAUUUUCCACCGUUUGUCGUGUAAACUUGUUAGCUAUUGUUAUAUUAUGUUUUCUAAUAUCUUCAUCUCAUAGUUAUGAAGUUUUUGUAACAUUCUUCCCAAGACUUUCCAUCGAACCAACAGCACUAUUGGCGGUACAAGUGGAUAAAACAUGCAGCAACUGUCCGAAUGUAUUCUAUCCAGUAUGUGCGGAGGACAAAAACACUUAUGUAAACGAAUGCAAAAUGAAAUGCUAUUAUGUCAAUGUAAAGAAUACAACUAAACUACCAAGGAUUGUAAGAGACGGGCCAUGUAAAAUGUUCCCUUAAUAUUUUUGUUGACCUAUUUUAAGAAUUUCGUUUGUAGUUUUUUAACGUAUUUACGCACGGUAAAUAAAUAGUUGAAAUAAUAAAAA